rnacentral:rRNA from 1 species
CACGGAGUUAGCCGGUGCUUAUUCUGCAGGUACCGUCAUCGCACUACACGUAGUGCUUAUUCUUCCCUGUCAAAAGCAGUUUACGACUCAGAAAGCCUUCUUCCUGCACGCGGCAUGGCUGGGUCAGGCUCUCGCCCAUUGCCCAAUAUUCCCUACUGCUGCCUCCCGUAGGAGUCGGGCCCGUAUCUCAGUGCCCGUGUGGGGGACCAGCCUCUCAGCUCCCCUAGUCAUCGUCGCCUUGGUAAGCCGUUACCUUACCAACUAGCUAAUGACCCGCAACCCCAUCUAUAACCAAUAAAUCUUUACUAUUCAGGUGAUGCCACCCAAGCAGCUUAUGCGGUAUUAAUCCGCCUUUCGGCGGGCUAUCCCCCAGUUAUAGGUAGGUUAGUUACGUGUUACGCACCCGUGCGCCACUAUGACAUUGCUGCCACCGUUCGACUUGCAUGUAUUAGGCCUGCCGCUAGCGUUCAUCCUGAGCCAGGAUCAAACUCU